GUAGUCUGCAACCCGACUACAUGAAGCUGGAAUCGCUAGUAAUCGCAGAUCAGAAUGCUGCGGUGAAUACGUUCCCGGGUCUUGUACACACCGCCCGUCACACCAUGGGAGUUGGAAAUGCCCGAAGCCAGUGACCCAACCGUAAGGAGGGAGCUGUCGAAGGUGGAGCCGAUGACUGGGGUGAAGUCGUAACAAGGUAUC
rnacentral:rRNA from 1 species